UACGUAGGGGGCGAGCGUUGUCCGGAAUUACUGGGCGUAAAGGGUGAGUAGGCGGUUUUUUAAGUUGGAUGUGAAAUACCCGGGCUUAACUUGGGGGGUGCAUUCAAAACUGUAGAACUAGAGUACAGGAGAGGAAAGCGGAAUUCCUAGUGUAGCGGUGAAAUGCGUAGAUAUUAGGAGGAACACCGGUGGCGAAGGCGGCUUUCUGGACUGAAACUGACGCUGAGGCACGAAAGCGUGGGGAGCAAACAGG
rnacentral:rRNA from 1 species